CAGUCGCCACGGUAAUACAGAGGGUGCGAGCGUUAAUCGGAUUUACUGGGCGUAAAGCGUGCGUAGGCGGCUUCUUAAGUCGGAUGUGAAAUCCCUGAGCUUAACUUAGGAAUUGCAUUCGAUACUGGGAAGCUAGAGUAUGGGAGAGGAUGGUAGAAUUCCAGGUGUAGCGGUGAAAUGCGUAGAGAUCUGGAGGAAUACCGAUGGCGAAGGCAGCCAUCUGGCCUAAUACUGACGCUGAGGUACGAAAGCAUGGGGAGCAAACAGGAUUAGAUACCCGCGUAGUCCAUGUCUCUUAUAC
rnacentral:rRNA from 1 species